AACUUUUAGCAACGGAUCUCUUGGCUCUCGCAACGAUGAAGAACGCAGCGAAAUGCGAUACGUAAUGUGAAUUGCAGAAUUCCGUGAAUCAUCAAAUCUUUGAACGCACAUUGCACUCUAUUUCGGUAGAGUAUGCCUGUUUGAGAAUCUAUAGUAUUUAUUCUCUCGCUUUGACUUGUUUUACGACUUUUUAAAGAGAGAGAGAUUUGAAGCGUCUCUCCCAAGAGUGCUUUUAAAUAGAUUGCCUGCUUGUUGUUUCGAGUGUUUGACACUAGACAUCAAGUUGACGAAAUGUAUUCGAAUGAACUUUGUUCUCCUAAUACUUUAAAAUCAACUGUCUGGUUUAGCUAGUCUCUUUCAAAUAGGUUCAUAACCUUGUAAACUACUUUGGUAGUUUGAACCUUGGUCUCAAAUCAGGUAGGAUUACCCGCUGAACUUAAGCAUAUCAAUAAGCGGAGGCU
rnacentral:misc_RNA from 1 species